AGAGUUUGAUCAUGGCUCAGGACGAACGCUGGCGGCGUGCUUAACACAUGCAAGUCGAACGGAGUUAAGUGAGAAGCUUGCUUCUUGCUUAACUUAGUGGCGGACGGGUGAGUAACGCGUGGGCAAUCUGCCCGUAAGAGGGGGAUAACACCUAGAAAUGGGUGCUAAUACCGCAUAACAUCAUUGGGUUGCAUGACCUGAUGAUCAAAGGAGCAAUCCGCUUAUGGAUGAGCCCGCGUCUGAUUAGCUAGUUGGUGGGGUAACGGCCUACCAAGGCGACGAUCAGUAGCCGACCUGAGAGGGUGACCGGCCACACUGGAACUGAGACACGGUCCAGACUCCUACGGGAGGCAGCAGUGGGGAAUCUUCCGCAAUGGGCGAAAGCCUGACGGAGCAACGCCGCGUGAGUGAUGAAGGCCUUCGGGUUGUAAAACUCUGUCUUCAGGGAAGAAACAAAUGACGGUACCUGAGGAGGAAGCCACGGCUAACUACGUGCCAGCAGCCGCGGUAAUACGUAGGUGGCAAGCGUUGUCCGGAAUUACUGGGCGUAAAGAGCGCGUAGGCGGGGAUUUAAGUCAGGAGUGAAAACUACCGGCUCAACCGGUAGCCUGCUCUUGAAACUGAAUUUCUUGAGGGUAUGAGAGGAAAGCGGAAUUCCCAGUGUAGCGGUGAAAUGCGUAGAUAUUGGGAGGAACACCAGUGGCGAAGGCGGCUUUCUGGCAUACAACUGACGCUGAGGCGCGAAAGCGUGGGGAGCAAACGGGAUUAGAUACCCCGGUAGUCCACGCCGUAAACGAUGGGCACUAGGUGUAGGAGGUAUCGACCCCUUCUGUGCCGUAGUUAACACAAUAAGUGCCCCGCCUGGGGAGUACGGCCGCAAGGUUGAAACUCAAAUGAAUUGACGG
rnacentral:rRNA from 1 species